UAUCAAUAAGCGGAGGAAAAGAAACCAACAGGGAUUACCUCAGUAACGGCGAGUGAAGCGGUAACAGCUCAAAUUUGAAAUCUGGCCCCCUCGGGGCCCGAGUUGUAAUUUGUAGAGGAUGCUUCGGGUGUGGCUCCGGUCUAAGUUCCUUGGAACAGGACGUCAUAGAGGGUGAGAAUCCCGUAUGUGACUGGCAGCCUACGCCCGUGUGAAGCUCCUUCGACGAGUCGAGUUGUUUGGGAAUGCAGCUCAAAAUGGGUGGUAAAUUUCAUCUAAAGCUAAAUAUUGGCCAGAGACCGAUAGCGCACAAGUAGAGUGAUCGAAAGAUGAAAAGCACUUUGGAAAGAGAGUUAAACAGUACGUGAAAUUGUUGAAAGGGAAGCGCUUGCAACCAGACUUGCACUUGGUCGAUCACCCGCCGUUCUCGGCGGUGCACUCGAUCUCGUUCAGGCCAGCAUCGGUUUUGGUGGUUAGAUAAAGGCCCCAGGAAUGUAGCUUCCCCCGGGGAGUGUUAUAGCCUGGGGUGCAAUGUAGCCUACCGGGACCGAGGACCGCGCUUCGGCUAGGAUGCUGGCGUAAUGGUUGUAAGCGACCCGUCUUGAAACACGGACCAAGGAGUCUAACAUCUAUGCGAGUGUUUGGGUGUCAAACCCAUACGCGUAAUGAAAGUGAACGUAGGUGUGAACCCUUAAGGGUGCAACAUCGACCGAUCUUGAUGUCUUCGGAUGGAUUUGAGUAAGAGCAUAGCUGUUGGGACCCGAAAGAUGGUGAACUAUGCCUGAAUAGGGUGAAGCCAGAGGAAACUCUGGUGGAGGCUCGCAGCGGUUCUGACGUGCAAAUCGAUCGUCAAAUUUGGGUAUAGGGGCGAAAGACUAAUCGAACCAUCUAGUAGCUGGUUCC
rnacentral:rRNA from 1 species